rnacentral:rRNA from 1 species
GAUGAACGCUAGCGGCAGGCCUAACACAUGCAAGUCGAGGGAGAGGUUAUCUUCGGGUAACCAAAACCGGCGCACGGGUGCGUAACGCGUAUACAAUCUGCCUUUCACAUAGGGAUAGCCCGAAGAAAUUUGGAUUAAUACCUAAUGGUAUAUAAGAGCGGCAUCGUUUUUAUAUUAAAGCUACGGUGGUGAAAGAUGAGUAUGCGUUCUAUUAGCUAGUUGGAGAGGUAACGGCUCCCCAAGGCGACGAUAGAUAGGGGUUCUGAGAGGGAUGUCCCCCACACUGGUACUGAGAUACGGACCAGACUCCUACGGGAGGCAGCAGUGAGGAAUAUUGGACAAUGGUCGGAAGACUGAUCCAGCCAUGCCGCGUGCAGGAUGAAGGUCCUAUGGAUUGUAAACUGCUUUUGUAAGGGAAGAAUAAGGAGUACGUGUACUUUGAUGACGGUACCUUACGAAUAAGCAUCGGCUAACUCCGUGCCAGCAGCCGCGGUAAUACGGAGGAUGCGAGCGUUAUCCGGAAUCAUUGGGUUUAAAGGGUCCGUAGGCGGGCUGAUAAGUCAGAGGUGAAAGCGCUUAGCUCAACUAAGCAACUGCCUUUGAAACUGUCAGUCUUGAAUGAUUGUGAAGUAGUUGGAAUGUGUAGUGUAGCGGUGAAAUGCUUGGAUAUUACACAGAACACCGAUAGCGAAGGCAUAUUACUAACAAUUUAUUGACGCUGAUGGACGAAAGCGUGGGGAGCGAACAGG